GAAAGACAAGUGGGGAAAAUAAAUUAUGAAUGUUAGAUGGAGUAGGAAUCUAUGGGAGGACUGAGACGAGACGGACAUGGGGAAGAUCUAAGUGUGGUGCUGGCCCUGGAAGAAGGUCCCAGGGACAGACUGGUAGACUGCUUCUUGCAAAAGAACAAGAAACAAGCACAGAACAAGAAACCAGAAGAAAACAAGAAACAAGUACACCAAGAACUGCUGACACUGCACUGAGACACUGCUGCCAUUUGAAUGUGUCUUAGAGUUAUGAAGAGCCUGUACAUCCACUCUGAGGGCAGACCCAGAUACAUUCUUCUUCUAGGUUCAUUCAACCUCAGUUUUGAUGCUAAUUCAUAGCUAUUGUGAUAUAUUGCAUCACAUACUCCAAAAUUAUAUUCCAAUUCUGAUAUGAUAUUCAGCUCCAGAGACACUGAUUUGAUAUUGAACACAUGGAAACAAACUAAUUUUUGACACAGAAGAGAGAAUUGGGACCUAUGUUGAUUAUUCCUUGACCAGUGAGAGUAACAGAAG